UCCCUCGUGGCUCAGACGGUAAAGCGUCUGCCUGCAAUGCGGGAGACCCGGGUUCGAUUCCUGGGUCGGGAA
rnacentral:tRNA from 1 species